CAUUUUCCUCAAAUCAGGUAGGACUACCCGCUGAACUUAAGCAUAUCAAUAAGCGGAGGAAAAGAAACCAACAGGGAUUGCCUCAGUAACGGCGAGUGAAGCGGCAAAAGCUCAAAUUUGGAAUCUCAGUCUUUCAGGCUGCGAGUUGUAAUUUGAAGACGUAUUUUGAAGUAAGCACAUGUCGAAGUUCCUUGGAACAGGACGUCACAGAGGGUGAGAAUCC
rnacentral:rRNA from 1 species